rnacentral:misc_RNA from 1 species
AAGUCGUAACAAGGUUUCCGUAGGUGAACCUGCGGAAGGAUCAUUAACAAAUUCAAACACUGACGUCCCACUUGACUGCUUUUACGCUGGUUCUCAAAAGGAGCCACGUAAGGGGGUAGUCAAGUGGUGUACACAUAUCAUACACACCCUUUGAUUGACAACACCUAGUGAUUAUCUAGUUAAUUUGUAGACAACUUUUAACAAUGGAUCUCUUGGCUCUU